GUUUCAUUCGUCCUUCUCGUGGAGCUACCUCUGCUAGGUUUGGCUCUGCUUUGAACAUUGAAACACUUGUAGCUGCUGCUGAGAGAAGGGAAACACCGAUAGAGGGUCCAGCAUCUGAGAUUCAGGAUAAAAUAUCGUUCAUCAUUAACAAUAUUUCAGCUGCAAAUGUUGAAGCUAAAGCAAAAGAAUUUACUGAAAUAUUGAAAGAGCAGUA
rnacentral:misc_RNA from 1 species